rnacentral:tRNA from 1 species
GCCGCGGUAGAUCAGCCUGGGAGAUCGCACGGCUGAAGACCGUGUUGUCGCCGGUUCAAAGCCAAUCUUGAUUCCCAAGAUCGGUGAAUAUCCGGCCCGCGGCACCA